rnacentral:rRNA from 1 species
UACAGAGGGGGCAAGCGUUAUUCGGAAUUAUUGGGCGUAAAGGGCGCGUAGGCGGCCUGGCAAGUGGAAGGUGAAAUCCCUCGGCUUAACCGAGGAACUGCCCUCCAAACUGCUUGGCUUGAGUUCGGGAGAGGUGAGUGGAACUGCGAGUGUAGAGGUGAAAUUCGUAGAUAUUCGCAAGAACACCAGUGGCGAAGGCGGCUCACUGGCCCGAUACUGACGCUGAGGCACGGAAAGCGAUGGGGAGCAAACAGGG